GAGAGGUAGAGACGGGAGGAUCAAGUGUUCAGAGUCAUCCACAGCUACAGAAAUGAGUUUGAGGCCAGCCUGGGCUUCAUCCACAGCUACAGAAAUGAGUUUAGGCCAGCCUGGGCUUCAUGAGUCCCUAUCUCAAAAAAAGAUCCAAAAAUUAAAUACACAGUCUCUAUUGUUACUGUUUGCUGUAGCUUUAGACUCAAUAUGUAUUAGAAAUCUGGCAAAUUACAGGGAAAAUCAAACAAGUUCUUACCUGAAUUACUGAAGUUUUUUCUUAAUGUAUAGAGUUAAUGCUUUAAAUCAAAUUAGAUUCAGUGUUGCAAAGAAAUAUAUAUGACAGCUUAUUUUCUGUCUAGUGAAAUUUCUAAAUAAUAUAUGUGUUUCUGUAAUGAAAAUUACAUUUUGGAAUCAAAUGUGCUGAAUUUAGUAUAAAGGAUUCUUUGUAUUGUUCUGUAAUCUUGACAAUUCUUGUGUAAUUCUAUGACCUUUACUUAUGACCAUCAUCUAUAUUUUGUGUAAUAGUUGAAUAACAGAAAAUAUCAAAUAAGUUACCUUUUCCUGUUUUAAGCCAAUAGCCUGUACAGGUACUUAUCCAGAAUGAACACAGCUGCCUUUAUUAGGUUGACCUCCGAGUCAUGACUGUGAUGUUUAGAGUAAAUGUUACCUCCUGUAAAUAAGCUUACAUCUCUGUAAAAGUGUAAAUCGUUAGUGAAUACAGAUACCUUAAAGGACUUGUUUAUAAGUAUAAACAGUUUUAUUCCAGGUUUUGUAACGUUAAUACCCUUUUAUCACUAAUAAUGUUCUUUCAUGCUCAUUUAUCCUCCUUGUUUUGUGUUCAUAAUAAAACUUCUCAGAUUUUUAAACUGUC
rnacentral:lncRNA from 1 species